GACGAACGCUGGCGGCGUGCUUAACACAUGCAAGUCGAACGAUUUAGUCGUCGGUCAUCAGACGUCAGACGUCAGGGGAACGAAUGGAACUGAAGAAAGAACUCGCUUUAGCGAAAAUCUAUUCCGAAACCCUUACGACCGAUGUCCGAUGACUGACGACCGAAUAGUGGCGGACGGGUGAGUAACGCGUGGGCAACCUACCCAUAAGAGGGGGAUAACAGCUGGAAACGGCUGCUAAUACCGCAUAAGCUUUUUGAGACACAUGUUUUAGAAAGUAAAGGAGGCUUUAGGCUUCCGCUUAUGGAUGGGCCCGCGUCUGAUUAGCUAGUUGGUAGGGUAGCGGCCUACCAAGGCAACGAUCAGUAGCCGGCCUGAGAGGGUGGACGGCCACACUGGGACUGAGAACGGCCCAGACUCCUACGGGAGGCAGCAGUGGGGAAUAUUGCGCAAUGGGGGAAACCCUGACGCAGCGACGCCGCGUGAGCGAAGAAGGCCUCGGUUGUAAGCUCUGUUG
rnacentral:rRNA from 1 species